UACAGGGUGGUGUAGUGGUUUGAGCAUUGGAUUAUGACUCUGGAGACCAGGGUUCAAAUCCCUCCUCAGUCA